ensembl:lincRNA
ACUUCCUCUCCCUGGCCUUGAGCCUCAUUUAGGAUCCGCAGAUAAAACACAGAGACCUACUAACACUAAAAAAUUAUUUGCUAUUUCUCUGAAAUUCAGAUUUAACCUGCAUCCUCUUUCUCCUUUUUCUUUCUUCUUCUUUUUUUGCUAAACUGGGCAACAGGGCAGGCCACUGCCGCCGUCAUCAGAAAGACUACUUUCAGUCCAGGCAAACAGAGGAGAGCAAAGCCUGAGAUGGUAACCUGCUCCCCCAGGCCAGAGGAAGCUCAGACCUUCUCACCAGUACCAGCAAGCUUUUUGCCUCAGAAGCACACAGUGAAGCCUCCAGCUUUUUUCAGCCUCAGCAGCUGGAAGCCAUGGGAAGCAACUGACAAACAGCUGGCGGCUGUGACACCUGCUGUGUGGGGAGCGAAGGUUUAAACCAGUGGGCAUGUAGCAUCAGACUUCCCGAUGGAUGAUAGUGCAUUCUUGAUUCUCCAAUGUGGGAUGGGAGCAUCGUGCCCCAGAUGUGGAAAGUCCUGGGCCAGGCCCUACUUCUCUGGACCAGAAGUGCUGUGUCCCCAAAACCCACCAGAGAACUGCAGCAGUGCCAUCCAGGUGAGCCUGAGCAGGUCCCUAGCCUUUCCCAGUUCCCACACAUGCAAUGGGAAUGCAGCUAGUCAGAAGCAAAGGCCUCUGGCUCUGUGCCUCGGCAGGGCAAGGCUGCCCACAGGACCAUUCAGCCAAGGUUCGUGGACUCUGCUAGUGCUGGCCCUGGCUCCGGUGGUGAAUGUCCCUAAAGGGCUGAGGACCUUCCUCCUAGUGCCGCUCCUGGAUGGAGGGCGGGGCACAAAGAUGCAGAGCGUGGACACAGAGGAACCAGACUGUGAGCUGUCACCCUCCACUGGGCCUGGGGGUGGUGGAGGGGGAGGAUGGAUGGAGAGAUGGGAAAGGGGGUUAAGUGAGAGAAGGAGGAAGAAAGGGAAGUAGGGAGGUAGGGGAGAGGAGUCACACUGACGUCCAGGUUACGGACAGAAAUGGACAGCUGAGGAGCCCAUCAAGGCAUACCGGUGCCGAUGAGGCCGAGUGCACAUGCCCUCCCUCUGGCAGUUCCACUUCUGUGGGAAUUCCUCAUGCGGCACCUGGUUUGCACUUCAGUCUCUGUGAGCACCAUCCAAGGGAGUCAGUCCUACACUCCUAUUCUGCUCUGGGAGCCACGCCCGCCCAAAGACCAUCUGAAGCCACCGAGGCAAGCAGCAGACCCGGUGGCCCCACUGGGAGCGGGUUAGCUCAUCUUCCUGGGACCCACAGAGCCGUCGGCCAUUCCAAAGCAUCAGCCUCCUCGCUGGUUUCUGCCCAGCUGCUGAGGGAUUCCCCCUGGACUUGAGGGUUGACCUUUCACUGCCUCCAGCUCAUGGGACUCGUGGGGAGAGACGUCUGCUAUAAAGGCAAGGGAGCAUUGCCCACCCCCUGCCAUUCCAACAAGAGGGAGAUGGUCUUUUUCACUGUAGGGAUUAAAACUUACAACAAAAGUACUCAAGAAGCCCCAGCUCCGAUGCACUGUCAGAGCCUUCCAACGUCCUCUUCUGUCACCACCUCAUGCGGGUGGCUUCCAAGGACUACAGAGCAGACUAUCGGGCACUUAUUCUCUGGUCG